GGCACCGGUCCCAGGGUCAAGAGACUUUCGGUUGACUCAGCCAUCACUUGGAGCACGACUGGGGAUCUUCGUCGCCCCGCCUCACCGGAUUUCACCCUUCUCGCCGCCCAUCUGACCCCAUGCCCACCCACUGCGGUCCCGAUUGCGGUCCACAGAGGUGCUCCGGCGUGCGCGCCUCUCGCCAACCGGGGAUCCUGCAGAAGGGAGGGAGGGAAGGAAGAAAGCGUGGUGUGAAGCAAGCCAUCUUCAGUCUGUGUCAAAAUGACCUUGCAACCCCACACUGCAUGACCGAAGACGCUAGCCGGACAGGUCCUCAAUAGGAAAAGCUCUGACAUUUGAGGAGCUUAGAAGCCAUCGCUUCUGUCCUUACAACAAGAGAAAAAACUGAACAAACUGAAAAUGAAUGACUUUUCUUAAACCUAUCAGAGAAUUGAGGUCACAGGGAAAGCCACCACCCUGAAUUGUGGAGAGAUGGAAAAAUGUGGGUGAUAACAACCAAGAUCAGUUUACUUGGAGCAAAAGCCACUGGAGCCAUAAACUGUUAGGAUCACUUAAAUGAUAAUUUUGAUGAAUUGCUGAAGGAAACCAUGUAAGCAAGAAGACAGUGGAGUGAAAUAUUUAAAGUGUUGGGGGAAAAGACUAGAAUUCUACAUCCAG
rnacentral:lncRNA from 1 species